UGCCAGCAGCCGCGGUAACACGUAAGGGGCAAGCGCUGUCCGGAAUCACUGGGCGUAAAGGGAGCGUAGGUGGCGAGAUAAGUCAGAUGUGAAAGUUUGCGGCUCAACCGUAAAAUUGCAUUUGAUACUGUUUUGCUAGAGUAUCGGAGAGGAAAGCGGAAUUCCUGGUGUAGCGGUGAAAUGCGCAGAGAUCAGGAAGAACACCAAUGGCGAAGGCAGCUUUCUGGACGAUAACUGACACUGAGGCUCGAAAGCGUGGGUAGCGAACAGGAUUAGAUA
rnacentral:rRNA from 1 species